CAGAUAUUAGUUUAAUUAAAAUUUUAAUUUUGGAGAUUAAGGAUAGAUAGUAAAAUUUAUAUCUGA
rnacentral:tRNA from 1 species